UACGUAGGGGGCAAGCGUUGUCCGGAUUUAUUGGGCGUAAAGAGCGUGUAGGCGGUCCGGUAAGUCCGCUGUGAAAGUCGGGGGCUCAACCCUCGAAUGCCGGUGGAUACUGUCGGGCUAGAGUGCGGAAGAGGCGAGUGGAAUUCCUGGUGUAGCGGUGAAAUGCGCAGAUAUCAGGAGGAACACCGGUGGCGAAGGCGGAUCUCUGGGCCUUACCUGACGCUCAGGUGCGAAAGCUAGGGGAGCGAACAGG
rnacentral:rRNA from 1 species